GCCCAUGUCACUCUGCAGCCCGCAGAGACUCACUGCCCCAUCAGUGGGGGCAGGGUGAGCAGACAGGCCACCCACACCACACACGUCUGCCCCAGACCCGAGGGCUGAAGGUUAUGAACAGCAAGUCGUAUAGAACAAGAGGUUGAAUCUUUCGCUAUAGAACGACAUGUCAAGCAUCUGGUGUUGCAGAUCUCCUAGGACAGAAAUGAACGUCUGAGAAGUGCCCGGAGGAACCCAGAGCAGCUUCAGGAUCGAUGCAUGACUGGAAAGACAACGAGGUGCAAUACAUCGAUCCGGGGGAACGAGUGUUUGAAACACCACUGGAACCGUCUAGGGCGACAGCAAUUCCUUUUCUCCUUCUGUUUCACCUCAUUUAGAGACAUGUAACAAGCCCUGAGAAAGCCCCGGGGAGCGUUUCUUCUAACCAGAAGCUGGUCCAGCCUCUCCCCUGACUCCUCCAUGCCUUGAAAGCCUGGGGAGGAGAAGCUCACCUCGCGGAGCCAUGACAAAGAAAGGACUGUGACCCUUCUCUUCCCCCUGCUGCAGAAAGCUCCAACGCUGGAAGCCGAAGCAGGCCGGAGAGGAAGGACACGGAGGGGUCUGGGUGGCAUCCAUCCAGGGUGAGGGCCACGGGGGAGCAGAGAACCAGAGACUCUUGCAAAGAUACAGGAACUCCCAUUUCUCUCAAACCAAGGCAUGGAAACGAGGGCUUCGGUUUUUACAAGCCUUCCAGGCUGAGCUUUCUGGCUGCCCACAACUAAGAAUAAACAGACAGCUGGUAGUUCCAAUUGUCAGUGAGGUGGCCGUUUGACAUGGGAAACCACCAUGUGACAAUUCACUGAAGGGUGUUUAAAAAAACCCAAGUAAUUCUCCUCGGCAAAGUCUCCACUUUCGUUUCUACUGCAUAACUUUUAGGACAGUACUUCUCAGAAAUAUAAGUAAAUGGCAUAAUUCUUCGUAAAAGGCAACGUUCUCUUUUCCUUCUUUAAAUACAGGACAGGGCACUGCACUGAGGCUGAGGCAGAGUUUGGGGGCUGGAACUAACCAAACCGGGGUGGGCGCCCGACUCAGCCACAGGCCACGUGAACGGAGGGCAUGAGUUAGGUCUGUGAAAGGCCGCUCCUGCUCUCCUCCUCACGGGCCCAUUCCGCCGCCCCCCGCAUUCUGCACUGUGCCCGAGACGUCACGUGAAGAAUGGAUACCAUCACAGAACAGCGACCGCGGGCAAAGCUACUGCCACCCUGAACUCACGUUCAAGUUAGCCAUCCGGAACCUUCCCCUGGCUACCAGCGGGGCAAAAUCUGAAUAACCAAGUCACAGAAAGAACACCACAGUAACAACUCAAGCAGUCAGGGGCGGCCGGGGACUGGUGGCUGAGGGUGGGGACAGACUACAACGGGUGAGGGAACUCACUUGGGUGAAGGAUGGAAUGUUCUAAAAUUGGACUGGGGUGAUGGGGGUGUAACUGUAAACGCACGGAUGCUAUCAAACUGUAUGCUUAGGAGGAGUAAAUCUUAUGGUGCGUA